GCCCCUGUAGCUCAAUCGGAAGAGCAGGAACCUCUUAAGUUCAAGGUUGUAGGUUCGAGUCCUACCGGGGGCA
rnacentral:tRNA from 1 species